GGUGCCAAUAAAAUGAUAGCUUAUGAAUAUCUCUGGUUGUUGUUUCUGUUCCACGACAUUUUGUAUGUCAUGUUUGGGUUGUGGGAUGAAGAGAGGGAUCAUUUUAAAACUAUUUAAAUUAUCUGGA